AGAGGGAAAGAGCCCAGACCACCAGAUAAGGUCCCAAAGUAUAUGCUAAGUGGAAAAGGAAGUGAGAUCGCACAGACAACCAGGAUGUUGGCUUAGAAGCAGCCAUUCAUUUAAAGAGUGCGUAAUAGCCCACUGGUUAAGCGGUUUCGCGCCGAAAAUGUAACGGGGCUAAAGCAUAUCACCGAAGCUGUGGUUUCUAGGAACUGUCCAUAAAAUUUAUCUGUUAGUUAUAUUUAGUCAAAACUAACAACAAGAAUAAAAAAAGAAAGUUUUGACCAAAUGAUUUUAGCUAAAGCAUAUCAUGAAUUAGCUGAGAAGGUAGAUUUUAUGGGCGGUUUCUAGAGAGGUAGAGGAGCAUUGUGUGCUGAGUGAAGCUAUACCGUAAGGAGUAGUGGACGGCACAGAAGAGAGAAUGCCGGUAUGAGUAACGAAAAAAGGAGUGAGAAUCUCCUUCGCCGAAAGUCUAAGGAUUCCUGAGGAAGGCUCGUCCUCUCAGGGUUAGUCGGGACCUAAGCUGAGGCCGAAAGGCGUAGGUGAUGGAAAAUCGGUAAAGAUUCCGAUACCACUAUAAAUUGUUUGAAUGAAGUGGGGACGCGGUAAAGAAGGUGGAGCAUGUGACUGGAAGAGCAUGUAUAAGCUAUUAAGCUGGGGUAAGGAGGCAAAUCCCUUUACCCACUAAACAGCUUAAAGUGAUGUGGAGCCAAAAGAGGCGAAGCCACCGGAUGAAUCGCCAAGAAAAACCACUAAUGAGAUUUA
rnacentral:rRNA from 1 species